ACCAUUAAAACGAGUAGGCCUUCAAGAUGGCUGCUUGGUAGACGAGUCAAAACGAAGCGGAGAUUUAUAAAGUGAUUUCCUCGGUUUAUUCAUGGUGAAGGAGGCUGUUACUGUCUGCCUGGCACUUGGCACUCUUCACCGUUCUGCUUUCCGCCUGGAGUGCCACGGGGCCAACAGUGAGUGCCGGGCAGCUGACGGUGGACCUGGUAAUUACCUGUGAGAAGGUGGGCACCACCCAGCCCCUCUGACCGCAGCAGCAAAGACCAGUGCCAUGUCUUGCCUGCCCAGUCCCUUGCUGUCAUGCAGACCCCCUCAUAGAAAGUGAGCGACAUAACCUCCUGACUGAGCUGGUCCAGGAGGUGGUGGUCCUGCAAUGCCUAUGAGCAAUGGGACAACAACCAAAUCCCUGGCCACAGCUGCGCUACCUCACCUCCCACACAACAGAGGAGGACGUGCUAGUAGUGUCAAUAAGUAUCAGGACAACAAAAUGGGAUGUCUGGUGCCUGACGGGACAGCUUGGUGGGGUAACAAGAGGCGUGAUGCGUCUACCUCCCUUCAAAGCAUCUCUGCAUUGCUUUAAGAAUAUUCUGCAAGUUUAAAGCUGAUGAAGGAAGACGUACAGCAGCUAUAGUCACCAUACACUAGGCUGAAGCCCCUGUCCAUAGCUAAGGGAGCUGAUUGCUUAGAUGAAAGGAGGCUCACUUGGGGCCUUGGAGCUGGAGAACACAAAGAAAGAACAAACAACAGCAGACCUGAUGGUUCUUACGAGGCUGUUUGUGACAAGCUACACUAACUAUCUAAUCAAAGGUGGAAGAUGAAGGACAGCAAGAUGAAGAAGCGUCUCUCAGCCCUUCCUCUCGGGUGCCGGCUUUGUCAAACUCUUCAUGGAAAUUUGCACUGACCUCAUCAUGGCAGAGACUGGGCAUGCACAAGGCGACCCAUUGUAGUAGCAGUGUUGUGUUCCCCCAGUGACCUGCCGACCACUGUGCUGCUCAUCAAGUUUGUGGAGGAGGGAGACAGUGCGAUGGGCACAGUCAUGCUGCUCAACUUUCUCAAUGCUUGGAAGGUCCAGGAGCCGUCCAGCUGCCCCGGAGAGCCCAGCGACCACACCCUGCAAGACAGCCUGCUCAUCCUGGGACACACACAGCCUCACCCUUCAGGCAGGAGACUGACGGGACGAGAACAACAACAACAACAACAAGAGGAGGGGGAGGAGGGUGGUACACAGGAGUGACUGAGUGUGUGGUGUGUCGCUUGCAGAGACAGCACAGGCGGACCACGACGCCCAAACCUUCAGGAGAUGUUCGUUCAGCCGUUCGAUUCUGCCGAGGGAAAGAAGUCAUGUUAGUCAACUCUGAUGACUUGUACAUCUCUGU